UACGUAGGUGGCAAGCGUUGUCCGGAUUUACUGGGCGUAAAGAGCGCGCAGGCGGCUGGUCAAGUCCGAUGUGAAAUCUCCCGGCUUAACUGGGAAACUGCAUCGGAAACUGAUCGGCUUGAAGGUGGGAGAGGGUAGUGGAAUUCCCGGUGUAGUGGUGAAAUGCGUAGAUAUCUGGAGGAACACCGGUGGCGAAGGCGACAUCCUGGACCGGUAUUGACGCUGAGGCGCGGAAAGCCCAGGGGAGGCAAACGGG
rnacentral:rRNA from 1 species